rnacentral:rRNA from 1 species
CCUACGGAGGCAGCAGUGGGGAAUUUUGGACAAUGGGCGCAAGCCUGAUCCAGCCAUGCCGCGUGCAGGAUGAAGGCCCUCGGGUUGUAAACUGCUUUUGUACGGAACGAAAAGCCUCUUUCUAAUAAAGAGGGGUGAUGACGGUACCGUAAGAAUAAGCACCGGCUAACUACGUGCCAGCAGCCGCGGUAAUA